UAAAGUUGUUGCAGUUAGAAAGCUCGUAGUUGAAUUUCGGAAUCUGUCCAUCGGUCGGGCUUCAUUGUUCGUACUGGUGUGGUGGGUUCUUACCUUCUGAAUAACCAGCAUGCCAUUCACUUGGUGCGUUGGGGAAGCAGGACUAUUACCUUGAAAAAAUUAGAGUGCUCAAAGCAGGCCAGUGCCUGAAUACAUUAGCAUGGAAUAAUAAAAUAGGACGGAAUGGUUCUAUUUUGUUGGUUUCUAGGAUCACAGUAAUGAUUAAUAGGG
rnacentral:rRNA from 1 species